CACAAACUGGUCUCUUUGUUUGCGACAACAAAAUAGCUGUCGGACAAUUUUUGCCUUUUAAAAAGAAUUUUCUGUUCCAGAGAAUACAGUAAAACAUAUUUAUUAUAAACAGCUCAUAUUCAAAAUUAACACAAUACUUUCAUAAGAAAUCUUGUGAUGGGACAUUUUGCAUAUGGUAUGUGUGCUUUGCGUUGGCAUUUAUUGAAAUUCCAUUGGAAAUGACUUGCAAGCCAUUUUGGAUUCACCCAUGAUUGCUGAAAAGAAACAUCUAUUCAUGCAACAUCUAUUCAUCUAUUAAUAACAUCUCUCAACAUCUAUUCAUGCAAAGUUAAAUGUAACAUUAUUUCUUGAGUUUGACAUUUUUAAAUACAGCAAUAAAAGAAAACUGCCUUGCCUUAUAAGUGACAUAUUUGGUCAUGACUUUAGAUCAGAUAACAGAACAUUAUCACCAAAGUUCCACUUGGAUUAGUCAUUUCUAAAUUUCUCACAUAAAAACAAAAUGUGCAAUGCAGUCAGCCCCCUAUCACAGCAUCAAUGUGAUUGAUUAAAAGAAAAAAAAAAAUGCCGAAGGACGUUUUGUCCUUGCUCAUCUGUUGGACAAAACUCCUUCCAGUUAAUCUCUUUAGUAGUAAUUAUCCAGGCUGAGACUAUUGGAUGACUUUAUAUCUGUUUGACAACAAAAUUGUUCCCUUAUGUGUGCACCUUUCCUGGGGCCACCUUUCCUGGGAUUUUGCAUAGGAGCAUACAAAGCUAGUAUUUAAAUACCAGGGCCAAACACUCUCAUUUUGCAGCUGUUAUACUUUUUGAAGUGCAAGUCAAACUUGUUGUUUUAUUCCCUCUUAUUUUGCUUGUCGCAUUCAAUGUCAGUCCAGAUGCUCAUAUCCAAGCUAUCGCAAAACAACGCGCAAUUCAUCAUAGCGCUCACACCAGGGUCCUAUUUAGUCAUUUAGGGGCCCAAGGCAAACGUAGUCAUUGGGUCCCUCCACAUCCUUCUUUUUUUCAUAUUUACAAAAUGUGAGUAUGUAAUUUUUUUUUUCCUGCUUUUGAAAUCUGUUACAGUUAUUUGUCACCUUAACUUGCUAGUUACAUAGCCAUGUUUAUAUACUCCCCUAAAAGCGAUUUGAAUAUUAAUGUUUAUCAUCUUCUAACAAGUGUCAAUAUGAGAAAAUGAUCUUCUUUCCUGAGCUUGAUAAAGUCCUUAAAAUCCUCCUGGGGGAUUAUUAUUACCUAACAAGUGAAUCAUCUCAACGCUUUUACUGUAAUUGACAAGAACACUAAGCGCCAUUUAACAUAGUUUACCGCUUUAAUACUCACAUCUUUGUGAUGAAAAGCGUCACUCUCAGCUUCAUCUCCUGCAUUCCCCUCUGCUGAGGCUGACAGUAGCGGUGCUGCUGUUGUCAUGUCUAUGCUUGUUGUAACUGUGAAAAAGGUUGACACCUUCGGUAGUUUUGAUAAAAACUGUUGGGUUUCCACUCGCCUUCUCCUCUUCUCCGCCCCACUGGGCUAACUAACUAUGUGCCAACAAGUUUGUUUCGCUUCCGUCUUCUGGAAUCAAUCUGCACAUGCGCAGUAACGUGGAAUAGUCCAUUGCAUGAGAAGGGAGUGGCAGCGGUUGAAACGCUUAUGCAUUUUGAUGUAGUUUUAAGCACGUGAAUUAAGACUAAAAGAGUAUUAUGUACCUUAAAUUAAAGAAAAAAAUCAAUAAUCUGUUUUUUAUGAGAUGUUUGGGGGUCCUUGGAACUCUCUGGGCCCCUGACAAUUGCCUGUGUUUGCCUAAUGGUAAGUCUGCCCGUGGCUCACACUUUUAUCAGAUACACAGCAAAUUGAGGAGUGUUAAUUUUUUGGUGUUGAUGAGAAUCUUGAAGUUGGAGUGUCAAUCUUACACUAUUUGGAGUUGAUCUAACACUGCAUUUUCUUAAAAAUGUUAAAUUUAACACUGGAUCAUGAAAGUGUUGUAGUUAAAAUGGAGUGUUGAAAAUGUUUAAAUCUUGUUAGUGUCACAAUAAAGACAUUCAACACUUCCACACUCCAUUUAACACCUAACAGUGUUCACGUGCCCACGGACAUUUCAUUUAGACUCCACCCCUCACUUCACGUUGCUGAUGGAAGAAGUUGACAAUUAGGAAUCAUUUUGCAUCAGUAGGUAAGUAAACGUUUAAAUACUGUAGAUGAACUAUGAAUGAAUUGUGUUGUACCUUGUUUACACAUAAAAAACGUUAGUUUUUGGUGUGAUAUUUAAGACUAAUAAACUGAGGCAGCUGUUUCCACCCAAAGCCUUUGCUAAUGUUAGCUCGUGUUUUUGCUAAGUUAUAUUUUCUAUUAAGUGUUGCUGUGAGCUGAAUCGGCACUGCCUGGGCAACAUUUGUCAAAGUAAGUGAACGCUACGUUAUAUCUUCAUUUUUAAUGAGCUAAUGGCUAACUAGCUAAUUGGCACGAGGAGCCCCCACACGUAGGCCUGCUGGCCCCCAGCAAAGGACUUGAUAUGCUGUACAAGAUACAAGAUAUCAAGGUUGGCAACUCUAAUUGUUACUUUAACUUAAAAAUAAUUGUCAGGCGUGUGUUGGAAGUGAACUACACAAAUUUUUUUUUAGAAUGAUGCAUCUUUAUUUUUCUUCUUGAUUCACAGCAAACCUUUCCUUGAGACUUACGUGAAUGUGAGGUGGAUGGAGAUGUGUAGACUCCACUAUCCCUUCACCCCAGUUAUCGCCAGUUGGUGGCGAGUCUCCACUCUUGCCGACUACAUCCCAUUCAUCAGGUUCGACAAUUUAUCCUUCAGCCCACAAGAGGAACCCAACAGAACCAAUGGAUCAGGAUGAAGCAUGACGGAAAGUCGGUGGUGUUUUGAGGGCCAAUCCGAAAGGUGAGGAAAUCUUCAAGGAGUGCAACAAGACUGAAACACUAACCGAUGCAAGGUGUAAACAGAUGGUGAACAUCCUGGCUGCAGAUAUGAUGGAGCUGCAUGGGAGGGUUCCGCCAUCAUGUGUGAUGAGAAAUUACGCCCUGAGAAUUGUGACUUGUUUUCCAUACCUAAAAGAUCCAUUCUCCAAACCUGGAUAUGAUGCUUAGCUUAGCGGCAGUGGCUCAAGAGGUAGAGCAGGUCGUCCAGAAAUCGUAAGGUUGGUUGAUCUUGCUCCCUCCACCCAGUCACUGUUGUGUCCUACACUUCUCCUGGCUCUCAAAGCCGUUCCAAGACUGUUUCUUCAUGAUGGUCCAAAAACCAGAGGAGAAUAUCUGUUAACUGGUCAACAGCUGUUUGGUGAGGAGUGCAGGGAGGGGCUAUCUACAAUAAGACAUUCAACUGAUGAAUCCGUGGUCAAAGAAGAUGAGAGCAACUUUCCAGUAUCGACAGAAUAUGAUCCAAGCACAAGAUGUAUCAUCGUCUGUUCUCAAUGUGUUCCCUCGCUUCCUUGAUGUUCCUGGAUUGAUUGACCAGGAUUUCUCAAUGAUGUUUGGUGAUGAAGUAUCUCAGAGGUUCCUGGCUAAGUGGUCAACUGUCUUCAAAGCAAAAGUCAUUGCAGACUUCAAGACUCUCCCGCAAAAGCAGAACAUUGAUGAGUUGCUGUCAGGAACUGAACCUCAACCUGAUGACAGCUGUGGGUGAGAAGUUACGGUAUAGAUUACCAUGUUGGUGUGUUCAAAUGUACUGGAUGUAGCUUUGAUCUACCUGUGUUCAAGAAGAUCUGUGAUAUAAUAAAACACAAAGAAUGUGCUUUCAUAAUAGCCUGUAAUGUAGAAACGAUGUACUAUGAGGACCUGUUUAACGCGUACUGCAUAGAAGACCAAAUGCUUGAGUUUUCUGUCAUGUGUUUAAAUGAACUGACUCAUUUCAGACCAUUUGACAAGCAGUGCUCUAAUGACAGUUGUCAAAGAGCAAACAUACUGUAGUGCCCUGCUGUUAUUUAAGCUACUGUCUGUUGGAAAUGAAAUGUUUUUGAAUAAAAUGUAUGAAGCAGUCAACUAGUCAUUUUUAAAAAAUGUUUAAAUUUUAUUUUGAAGUAGUAUAUUAACACUUUUAUAGUGUUAAUGUUGCAACUCCUUUUGAGAGUAAAAUGACACUAUAAGAGUCAAUAAAUGACUCUUAAGAGAAUUAAUUUGUGACACCUCACACUAGUGUUAAAAAAAUGCAACACCGGUUGGUGUCGAGGAGUGUUAAAUUUUAACUAUAUAAAUAGUUAAUAUUGACUCUACAAUGGUGUAAAAAUGGCUACACUUUCAAAAGUGUUAAAAUAACACUUUGUAGAGUGGACCCCAUGGGACACUUUGAAAGUGUUGAGAUUAACUCCUACAGUGUCAAU